GACAGGUUUGGGAAGCACUGCUCUAGAACAAUAUCGCUUCAUUAUAUUAGCAUGACAGGUCAGAAAUUUCCGUUUAAGAUCAAGAGUAUGCACUAAAUCUGUGUCAUAUGGACCAGCAAAAUGGGCUGAUGGAGCAGAACCACGAACUGGCAGAAGUAUGAAGACUUCGUCUCCAGGUUUAAUUACACAUGUAACAGAUUUACUAUCGAAGCAUUUUUCAUGCUUUUCUGAGCUUCGGCCAAUGACCCCUUCGCGAACUUACAGGGGCUGACACAGUCCAAAAUGACUUGCUCAAAAGGCUCACCAAUUACAGGGACUGGAACCAAUAGAGCAGGCCAGGUCCAAAGAAAUGCUUAUAAUUCCUAGAUGACCUGAUAGACAACGAUCGUGAGCCAAACUUAACACUAAGUGGUCGGCAACACAAUUUGACAGCAGUGACAAAGCACUCUACCAAAGAGGGAUCGUUUCACUGUGCUGUGAUCAUCAGUUCACACUUAACAGCUCCAUCUGGACCUGACAUGUCUGAUCUCGCUCCUGCGCUUUCAUCUGCAUAUGGGCGAAUUGGACCUUAAGCCGCACAGACCCACUGGAAGGAAGAGAAAAAGGAUGAAAGGGUGGCAAGGCAGCCUUGGCAUCGGUCUCCACCUUGGUGGCCUCACUCAGCGGCUUCUUCAAUGUAAUAGGACUUAGAUGUGUAUCAACAGCCUACUAGAUGGCCUCACCAUCAUCUGCAUCUGGCAACACAAGCACAUUUAGUUCAACCAGCUUUUGAAAAAUAACACUUCUAAUUGUUUUCUUUCAUGCUUUUCUCACCACAGAGAACCCGUAAUGGUCGGCAAUUUUCAACAAAUCAUCCUUCCUACACCUGUCAAAUUUAUCUAAAGUUGGGUUAUUAAUAAAUAACUGUAAAUCAAAGGUACUCAUAUUUUUAGUCAUGCCACUUUCACUAUAUCCGUACAAGUGUUUCCUGUCUAUUACAGCACAAACCAACAUAAAGAUAUAUAAACACAUAAAAUUAAUGUCCAGGAAGGAUCCAAUUGUUUAGAUCCCGGAUGAGCCCCCAUAAAUGUUUUGUCCCUUAAGCUUUUAGGAUUAGUUUGGGUAGGGAAGAAUGGGAGAAUAACAUUUGAAAAGUGUGUGUGUGAGUAUAAACAAGAAUGAUGGCGGGCAAAAAUAAUACAGAAGGAUGUGCAAACUCCACUCAAAAAUGUUCAUUAUUCCAAGGUUUACAGUGCUCAGUGAAAGGUGAGAAUACAGCAUUUUACAGCAUUGAUGCAGUAUGUGGUCUGGAAUUGUCAUGUUGGAAAAUACAAUGUCUUCCCUGAAAGAGAGGAUGUCUGGAUGGGUGCAUAUGUUGUUCUACAACUUGGAUAUACCUUUCAGCAUGGAUGGUGCCUUUCCAGUUGUGUAAGCUGCCCAUGCCACACUCACUCAUGCAACCCCAUACCAUCAGAGAUGCAGGCUUCUGAA